rnacentral:rRNA from 1 species
GACGAACGCUGGCGGCGUGCCUAAUACAUGCAAGUAGAACGCUGAAGGAGGAGCUUGCUUCUCCGGAUGAGUUGCGAACGGGUGAGUAACGCGUAGGUAACCUGCCUGUAAGCGGGGGAUAACUAUUGGAAACGAUAGCUAAUACCGCAUAACAGUAGAUAUUGCAUGAUAUCUGCUUGAAAGGUGCAAUUGCAUCACUACCAGAUGGACCUGCGUUGUAUUAGCUAGUUGGUGAGGUAACGGCUCACCAAGGCGACGAUACAUAGCCGACCUGAGAGGGGGAUCGGCCACACUGGGACUGAGACACGGCCCAGACUCCUACGGGAAGCAGCAGUAGGGAAUCUUCGGCAAUGGACGGAAGGCUGAACGAGCAACGCCGCGUGAGUGAAGAAGGUUUUCGGAUCGUAAAGCUCUGUUGUAAGAGAAGAACGAGUGUGAGAGUGGAAAGUUCACACUGUGACGGUAUCUUACCAGAAAGGGACGGCUAACUACGUG